CAUAUGCGCUGCUGUCUUUUUUCCUUUAAUAUCAUCAUGCUGGGAAUUAGAUUUCAACAUACGAUUUUGUCAGGGACACAAACAUUCAGACCAUAGCAUUUCACAUUUGCCCCACAAAGUGCAUGUCCUUCUCAUAUGCAAAACACGCCAUUCCAUUCUAGUUUAGUCCCCAAAGUCUUAGUUUAUCCUACAAUCAGCUCCAAAGUCUGAAGCCUAGAGUCUCAUGUAAAUAUCAUCUAAAUGAGAUGUGGUUGAGACUCCACAGUGAUUCAUUCUGAGCCAAAUUACCCCUCUAGCUGUCAGCCUGUUAAAUCAGAUAAUAUCAUAUGCUUCCAAAAUACAGUGGUGGGACAGACACAGGAUAGACCUUGCCAUUCCACAAGGGAGAAGCAGGAAUGAAGGAAGAAAUGACAGGUCUUGAACAGGUCCAAAACUUAAUAAGGCAGCAUUAAAUCUUCAGGCUCCAGAAUAAUCUUCUUUGACUUAAUGUCCUACCUUCUGAACACACUAGGGUAGGGAUUAGGCUCCCAAGGCUCUAGGUGGUAGAGUUCUCAUAUACUGGAGUUGGGUGCCUGCUGCUCUCCCAGGAUGGAAUCACAUGCCAGUGGCUCUUUUAGUCUAGAGUUCCAGAGAUGAAUGACUCUGCCCCCAUGACUCCACUAGGCAUUGCCAUAGUGGGG
rnacentral:lncRNA from 1 species